rnacentral:misc_RNA from 1 species
AAGUCGUAACAAGGUUUCCGUAGGUGAACCUGCGGAAGGAUCAUUCACAAUGAAAGUGUUCUAUGGCACUUUUUAAAAAAAAUCCAUACCCACCUUGUGUGCAACGUUUUUUUUUAUCUCAAGGGAUUUCCUUUGAGGUAUUUUUUAAACACCUCAUUUUUAACGAACAAACGUCUGAACUUAGUUGCGAAUUAAAAAAUUAAUUCUAAUACAACUUUCAACAACGGAUCUCUUGGCUCUC